AUUGAACGCUGGCGGCAGGCCUAACACAUGCAAGUCGAACGAGUGGCGGACGGGUGAGUAAUGCUUGGGAAACUGCCUGAUGGAGGGGGAUAACUACGGGAAACGGUAGCUAAUACCGCAUACCAUCAGAUGUGCCCAGUUGGGAUUAGCUAGGUGGUGGGGUAACGGCUCACCAAGGCGACGAUCCCUAGCUGGUCUGAGAGGAUGACCAGCCACACUGUGACUGAGACACGGUCCAGACUCCGACGGGAGGCAGCAGUGGGGAAUAUUGCGCAAUGGGCGCAAGCCUGAUGCAGCCAUGCCGCGUGAAUGAAGAAGGCCUCCGGGUUGUAAAGUACUUUCAGCGGGGAGGCGUUACCCGCAGAAGAAGCACCGGCUAACUCCGUGCCAGCAGCCGCGGUAAUAC
rnacentral:rRNA from 1 species